UGGGGAAUUUUGGACAAUGGGGGCAACCCUGAUCCAGCCAUGCCGCGUGCGGGAAGAAGGCCUUCGGGUUGUAAACCGCUUUUAGCCGGGAAGAAAAGGUCGCGGAUAACACCUGCGAUUUUUGACGGUACCGGCGGAAUAAGCACCGGCUAACUACGUGCCAGCAGCCGCGGUAAUACGUAGGGUGCGAGCGUUAAUCGGAAUUACUGGGCGUAAAGCGUGCGCAGGCGGUUCGUCGUGUCCGAUGUGAAAGCCCCGGGCUCAACCUGGGAAUGGCAUUGGAAACUGGCGGGCUUGAGUGUGGCAGAGGGGGGUGAAUUCCGCGUGUAGCAGUGAAAUGCGUAGAGAUGCGGAGGAACACCGAUGGCGAAGGCAGCCCCCUGGGCUGACACUGACGCUCAGGCACGAAAAGCGUGGGGAGCGAAAACAGGAUUAGAUACCCUGGUAGUCCACGCCCUAAACGAUGAUCACUGGGUGUUCGGGGAGCGAUCUCUGAGUACCGUAGCUAACGCG
rnacentral:rRNA from 1 species